rnacentral:rRNA from 1 species
AGCGAACGCUGGCGGCAGGCCUAACACAUGCAAGUCGAACGAACCCUUCGGGGUUAGUGGCGGACGGGUGAGUAUCACGUGGGAACGUGCCUUUAGGUUCGGAAUAACUCAGGGAAACUUGUGCUAAUACCGAAUGUGCCCUUCGGGGGAAAGAUUUAUCGCCUUUAGAGCGGCCCGCGUCUGAUUAGCUAGUUGGUGAGGUAAAGGCUCACCAAGGCUACGAUCAGUAGCUGGUCUGAGAGGAUGACCAGCCACAUUGGGACUGAGACACGGCCCAAACUCCUACGGGAGGCAGCAGUGGGGAAUCUUGCGCAAUGGGCGAAAGCCUGACGCAGCCAUGCCGCGUGGAUGAUGAAGGUCUUAGGAUUGUAAAAUCCUUUCACCGGUGAAGAUGAUGACUGUAGCCGGAGAAGAAGCCCCGGCUAACUUCGUGCCAGCCGCCGCCGUAAGAC